AUUUGCACUAUGAAGGAAUUUUUGACAACAUUAUGGGAUGAGUGAUUUCGAUCAUAUCAAAAUAUAAAUUAUUGAUAAAAGGGAACACAACUUCACAAGAAGACAAUGACUUGCACUACGGAGGAAUGAUCAACAACGUAACUGGAUGAGUGAUUUCGAUCAUAUCGAAAUGUAAAUUAUUGAUAAAAGAGAACACUAUUUCAUGGGAACACAUUGAGGGAAGAGGACUAUGUGAAACUGGGGUUGACAAAUUAUCGUUUAGCAAAGACUAAAGCAGGGAUAAUAGAAGCGUUGUGAAAUUGGGGUUGAAUUCGAAUCUACAAAUUAUCAUCUAGCAAAUACUUCAGCAGGAAUAACGGAAGCGUUGUAGACCUGGACUUGACAUCAAAUCUUCGAAUUAUCGUUCAGCAAGGUCUAAAACGGGUCGAUUGAUUUGCAAAUGGUCGUCACAAUCUAAAGGCGGUUCUUCACUACAGCACUAAUUCCGAUCUCCAUCAAAGAACGUGGAAAUAAAGACUUGAAAACACUGAUCGGAACUAUUACCACAGUCGAACUCUGACACUAUGAAACUCUGAAAUGUGUGAUCAGACCGAUUCUGAGACCUUUGGGUCAGACUAUCAAGACGUCAUAACUCUGAAAAUUUGAUAUACGCAGACAAUAAUGCCGGUGCAAUAAACUCGGUGAAUUUAGACCAGGGGUGGUCCUGGUUUUUGGACCAGGGACCAAGUGUGACGUAAAAGUUACAUUUUAUGAACAAUAUUUACAAUGUUACAAAAGCAAAAGUGGAAAACAAUAAGCCUCGUGCCGAAACUAAAUUUAGUCGCAACCUCAACAAAUUUCUUGAGCUAUUUUUUACGCCUAAAUUUACCUUUACGCGUUUGAAUAAGUUACGCUUUUACGUUUUAAUUUGGUUGUGGAAGUAUCAGGAGGGCCAGGUUAUAUUGCCCAACGGGCCGGAUUUGGCCCGCGGGUUAUAGUUUGCCUGUGUCUGAUUUAGACCCUUAACAGUGAUUCCACGAGUGUUAGACCAUGUUAAAAUGCUUGAAUGUGCAUAACCGUAAAAAAAAUACCAAAAAUGGAGAUAAAUCGUGAUAAAUAAUGUGUGAACGUUAUAAUGCUUUAUUAUCGGCUAAGGCCUGAAAUGUAUUGAAGCGAACAUUUUUUUCUGAGACUCUAUGAUAGCAUUUUUAUUAUAUGAAAUUUAAUUCGUGUCAUUUUUUAAUUUUAUUUCCAAACAAAAUUAUUCGUCUAUUCUCUUUUUAAAAUUGCUGUGGGAUUGGGGUGGGAUUUAUACACCGAGCUGGAUUCAAUUCAUUGAAAUAUCCAGCUCCGCGUAUGGUUUACAGCAAUUUUAUUUGUGUAUUUAUUUGUGUUAACAUUCGAAAUAAAAAAGUGCAAAAACGACUGCUAUAUAAUCUCUAUAUAGUAAUGUAAUUCUUCACUUUGCAGCCGUACAAUCCGAUUUCUUGAAAAAUUGUUAAACACUUUUGCAUUAGCGAACUUUUAUAUU